rnacentral:rRNA from 1 species
CUUUCUCAUCGUAGACCGCAACCGAACGGUGCCGGUGGACGUCAGAUCGAUGAUAGAUCCAUCCGAGGACGAGCCGCCGACAUCCACCACGAUGCGGUUGCGGCGCCUGGACUGAUGCGCCAUACGGGGCACCGGAGAAUGUGACUCUGCCUUGCCGACAUCCGCCGCCGCCUCCCGCGCCCGGUGCCUUGCACGGCGAGCACGUCGUGCCAUGGCCGCGGCGGACGAGGCUCAUGGUGCGUCCCGAUGCUCGGCGCGCCAUUGAAGGGGUUGCGAGUCCGCGAGCGCGUUCGAACGCCAGAUGGACCGUAAGGCCUCCGGUGAGGCAGCUAUGGCCGGCCUAGCGCCGGAUCCAUGCUCCAUUUGGGCGGAAGCAAUGGAUUCUCGACGGAUGGAGUCUGAGCGCAGCCGUCCACGGGCCUCCUCCCGGGCGCGGCGGAGCGCAAGCCGGACGGCCAUCUCCUCCUCGGGGCCGCGCGGGAUGAGAUCGGGGUCGACGGAUCUGGAGGUGAAGGACUCGGAUCCGCUACCCGUCAUGCCGAAGAGGAUCGGAAGGAGCCGGAGAUGAGCUUGGGUGGCGGAGGGGAAUGGAGGGGAGGGGAGUGAAGUGGCUAGGGUUUGGUCCGGCGAGUGGAUGGGAAGGAUUUUUUGUGGGGUCGGGUGAGCCAGCAUGGGCCGGGUUCGACUUGGCAGGCGUGCCCGGGCACCCCCAUAUCCACUCCAUAUUUGGGCUGGGUAUGGGGGGCGGGGUUAGCCCGGGCGUUUGAAGGCCGUUUGAGAGGCCCGUCUAGGUCAAAAAAUCAUGAACAAGCAGUGACCGGGCGGCCUGCCCAGGCGUUUGAGACGGGUUUAAGGGGUCCGGUUGUAGAUGCUCUUACAGAAGAGUAUUCGUGACAUGCAUCAGGGGCAGUCGACCGCCGGUCUGCGUCAAGAUUCAAAACGCCGUUUGUGUAUAUCACCUACUUCCCCUCAUACAGCCCUUUGCAAAUAUUUGUAAACUGAUCAUAAAUGGAAAGCAAUAUAUAUGUUUUUG